rnacentral:sRNA from 1 species
GGACGUCUCCGGACUCCU